rnacentral:lncRNA from 1 species
AAUAAUGAAAGUUUUAGCAUGAUUCACGCAUCACGAAUGCCAUGAGAUAUAUUAGGGUGCUUGCAUUAGAAUUCACGAAUAUAUUGCAUUGCAUAUUAUGUUGUUGAUGUGGAUGAAUGUUGAAUGAUCCAUUAGCCCUCAUAUGUUAUGACAUGAUGAUAGGAUAUGGAAGUCCAGGCGUGCCUGCUCUACGUCCCUGGCACUAUGUAAGAGAAAGUCC